GGGGAAGUAGCUCAGUGGUAGGGCACUUGCCUAGCAUGCAAGAGGUGUUGGGUUCAAUCCCAGCUCUUUA
rnacentral:tRNA from 1 species